rnacentral:misc_RNA from 1 species
AUUUUGCUUAAAAUAUUAAAAACUGCAAAGGCACACUAGAUUAAGUUUAGUGUUUAGCCAUUAACCAUCAAAGUUUAGUUCCACCAUUCCUUUAGCCUCGAACACAGCCUUCUGACCUUCAGUCCUGAAGAGGGAACUGUUCAAUGCCGACACAACUUGUGCUCUGGCAUCAUUCAGCAUUCUAGGAGGUAAGCCGGAAGCGAAAUCAAAGGCCACUUCAGGAGCCUUCCUGCAUAAGUAGGCCCUUUUCCUAGCUAUGUUCGUUAUUCUAGUUGCUGGAUCAGCCUGCAGAAAAUGAAAGGCAUUGACUGCAAAGGGUUCAAAAAGUUGCCUUCUGGUGGAAUCCCUUAUCCAGCGUUCAGUGUGAGUUGCAGCCCAAGCUUCCACAGUGUGGACAAAAUCGUUUAAAUUGAAAGUUGGCUGCAGAUUUGCUGGCCAAUUUAACCCCGUGAAGGUUGGAAUUGGCACCAUUAAAUUCACAUUCGGGAACUGUGUUUCCUUGCUUGUCCCUAGGAUGGCUAUGUUCCCUAUCAGAUAAUCCAGGUAGUGAUUCAAUAUAGCUCUCUUUGUGGUCAACUGAUUCUGACUCACCACUGGAUUGCCCUCUGUUUGCACCAUCAGUAGUGCAUUCGUUGGAUCUAUUUGGCUCCAGACUAGCUCCUCGAUCCCCUGAGCUAUCUGCUCCUGAAGCUGCUUGACUAUACUCAUUUUUUGAAUUGCAGAAUACUUGCUCCCAAACUUCAGUAGGUAAGUAAAUAUCACUUCUUGUCGAAGCUGACCUAAUGAGCUCUUUACCCAACUGUAUAGCUUUUUGGGAACUGAUGUACUUAAGAUUUUGAAGGUCUGAAAUAGAAUUUCUGCCUGAAUUAUAGCAAGAUGCACUGGAACUCCCUUCCCCUUGAAAAAGUCUAUUAGAACAUCUUGGGUGCUCCACUCGUGAUCCAAAAUUUUCUGAACCUGACACUGCAUAAUGUCUAACACGUAACUUGCGAUUUCUGCGAAAGAGACCCUUCCUGCAUAUUUCCUGACAUGUGUCACUACGCAAUGUAGAGGGUUUUUGAUUGAGAUCCCAAUCAAGCAGACUUUCUUCGCUUUCAUCCAUUCUUUUAACUCCCAAAAUUUCCUGGGAUUGAAUUUCUCUUGCAAUCUUUGAAAAGCUUGCAAUGUCCCCUUGAUUGGUGAACCUGUAGAUGUAUCCGAUGUUGACGUUGAAGGCGUGCGAACCCUUAAGCAUACUGAGUCCACUGUACUCAAAAAGGAAUUGGCUAGCCUUGCCAAGAUUUGGGUCGGAUAUUGAAAUGGGAUAAUCCGGAAAGUACACAAAGUGAGCCUGCCCACGAUUGAGAUUAAACUUAAAGCUAGAUUGCCUAGCUUGCUUGAUAUCCUCAAACCUUCCAUCAAGGUAGCACAAUCUCCCUUCAACAUUUCCUUUGAUUUUGAAAAGGCAAGUAACCGAGAAAAGGAUUGCCCCAAGGUGAAUAAGGGAGUACUCCUCUUUUCUUGACUUAAUGGCAGCAAUCUCUGAUUCAUCAAAGCAUUCAAUGCCGUUCUGGACCCUACCUGAUUCACCAAUUGAUUCAAUGGCGAUAGAGAGUUGGAACUUUCGAAUUUCGGAAGCAAGUCCGCCUCCAAUGCCGCCUGAAUCUUGAUAGAGGUAAGAGCUUUGUAAGGCAUCAAUGAAUAACUCGUCACUUGAGUUUGAGAUUUGGUUGAGGAAUUUCUUGACUGGAAUGACUGCCAUUUCACAUCUAUCACUUCUUUAAAUUCCUGACCUAAAUUGGAUUUCCAGUGGAAUCCAAUUGAAGGGUUGCCAAAAACCACCUCACCAAACAUAAUUUUCCCUUCAUCAGCUGAAGUGUUCAGAAUAUCUCUUGCAGUUCCUUUAAGUUUAUCUUUGUGCUGCACAAAAAACCUAGUUAAUGUGUAGUGAUACCCCAACUGCUCAUCAGAUAAAACUUCCAUAAGAUGAUCACCCAACUCAAAACUGUAUUUGUACUCAAGGAAGUACGAAUCAAGUACCAAAUCCAGUGUCCCUUUUUCAUCUGCGACACGCAACCUUGAUUCUAUUAAUUUAGGAUCUUUCAUAAUGCCAUAUUUUGUCAUCAACCAACCACAAAAACUUGGACAUGAAGUGUAUCCAACCUUAGCUUUUAAGCUCAAUUUUUUAAGCACAUCCUCGUAAUCACUUCUCUCCUUGAGUCUGGCAUUUGCACACAUGUCAUCACCAGCAAAACAUAUUGAUAUGCUGUUGUCCACUUUAUAUCUCAUGAAUGUGAAAACCAUAUUCAUCAAUGUAUUAAAUAGAAAAGUUGCAAAUUCACCAGUAAAUCUCAUUAUGGCCAAGGUCCCUAACUUACUAUCCAGGUGUGUUUUGAGCUGGAUAUAUUCAUCAAUUAAGUCUGCUGGAAUGUUUAAGUGGUUCAUGAGUGCCACUUCAAAUGCCAAGGAGGCAGCAUCUUGACUAGAAUCAAAAGCUUCAUAAUCAGAUUCUGUGCAAAUUGAUGAGAAAUCCCUCUCCACAACCCACUUGUUCAAUUCAUCAAAAUUUUUCUUUUGAUGUAUGUAGUACCUCUCAGGCAGUGCUUUAGAUAAUUUAUGUUCAAUGUAUCUAGCUAAAGGAGCGAAUCUGACAAGCAGCUCAUGUGAAAAACAUGCUAGAGUUUGUCCGGCCUUGGCAUCAGUAUACAUUUUUUCGCUUUUAGUGCAUAAUUGACUUUUAAUGAACAGAAAGAUCUCGUUUACUCUCCAAUCCUUCAGAGAUCUAAUGUGAUGAUUUUCUAUGGUUCUCGCAUCUUUAGAGAUUUUUUUUUCCUCAAAUUCGGCAAUGGACUGCUCAUAUAAUUGGCAAUCAAAUUCAGUAUCAAACUUGAUCUCUUUCAGCAAAACUUUGAGCAUCUCUUUGCCUAACCCUCUGGCCUCCUUGAACCUUCUAAUGUUCUCCCUUGGGUUAGAGAACUUUAAUCUCUUUCGCACUGCGGCUAUAAAGGUGGCUUGAUCUGAAUUUUUAUGUCUUGGGAAAAUUGCUUCAGAAGCCCAUGGACCCACUUCUUUUCCAUGUCUUUUGUUGUUUAGUGACUCAGAAAACUGAGCACUAGGUUCACUGCAUAAGCCGAUGAACUCCCUUUCUUCCCUGGCUUUCAUUUUUUCGGACUUCUGCAUUCUCAAUAAAUCGCCAGCCACCAAAGGAAUGUGUGUUUUAAGAAUUGAUUUCUUAGUUUCAGGUUCCUGAAUUUCUGGUUCAACUCUUUUCUCAGAUGGUAGCAUAAACAAUUCAGAUUUAAGAAAAGGAUCACCCUCCAUCUUAAAUUCAAAAUCACCCCCAAAUUUCUGCUCGUCAACAACCCUAAAAGUUGAAAGUUUCUUUUCGAUAAAAGAAUUGAUGAAUUCAAAGUCGCCUAAGAUGAUGCUAUGGUUCUUCCUUUUCAUGGCAGAGGGGGUUGAGAAAUCGUAGUCAAAUUGCUCAUCUACCACUACAAAGAUUCCUUUCCUUUGUCUGGUGAUGGCAACAAUAACCAUUUCCUCAGAGAUUUUGAGAAAAUCAGGAGUGAUAUAUAACACUGUGUAUUGAAAACUGGAACCCUGACUUUCUCCUAUAGUGAGAGUUGUGAGUGGAGUUGUACUUAAGUAUCUCUUAUCAGCCUGUGAAGCUACCAAAGCGACUAUUUUCUUCUUCCCUAUUUCCUCCUGAUAUCGAUCCAAUUUCAGAGUCUCCAGGUUUCUUAAAUAACCUACAGUACAAAUACCUUGAGCAUAAUAGGGCAACUGAAUUAUUGGCAAAUUGAAGGCACCAAACCUGUAACUUCCAAACAGGUAACCAAUUUCUGGUUGCUUAAAAAAGUUCAACAAAUAAUUCAACUCAGCCUGAGUGCCAUUCAAUUUGACUGAGUCCUCAGAAAAAAAGUUAGGCUGUAAUACAUCACCCGUGAAAACUAUCGGCACCUUAAUGCCCUUCCUGAGAACUCUCCUAACAUCUUCCUCAUCAACUCUUUUUUUCUUCCUCAAAAUUUCUUGAUCCCUCUCCAGUUCUUCACUUAACCACUUCAAGGCAAUCAAAUCCGAGUACCCGGGUGGUAAUUGGGAGACUUCAUCUAAACAAAUCAGUUUGUUUGACACCUGGGAUAAAAGUGCUAUCUCAAAUGUUUUAAAAUUUCUAACUUUUGAACUCUUCUCCUCUUCACUAAGAUCAUGAAUUUUGGCGAUGAUUUGAUCUAAAAUGCUCUUUCUGGAUGAAAUUAACAGGAAAUCCUGAAGAUUCUUACCAUUUAUCAGAAAUUCAGUUAAGUUGUGUGUCUUUCCAGAUCCGGCAAACCCGAUGAAGGGUGUUAGAUCAAAUUCAAUCUUUUCAUCAAUUAAAUCCAAUAUAGAUUCCUCACUAAUGAGUAAAUCAAUUAGACUUCGAUUGAUUAAUCUUCCCUCAUUCACCUUCUGACGAUCAAUCAAGGCUCCGCAAUUCAUGCUUUUGAAGCUCCUUAGUAGCUGCAGACCUCUGUUGGAAUUGAUCCUCUUUUUGAUCAUGAUGGGUUUGUCAAAACCGUACACUCCUUGGUAAAUUCUGGACAUACUUUCAUUAAUUGAUUCACAUGCCUCGACUUUAUUUUGCAGAUUGAAGAUAUGUCCUGGUCUACCACCCAGAUGCAUUACAUGCUUAUCUGGGGAGAAGUUAAAAUUUUUAAUUUCAGAACCUAAAUGGAGGCAUAUGAACCAAUCCAUUACCAAGCAAAUUCUGUGGAUUUCUGAUUCUAGUAAUGGCUUAUCUAGAUUGAUUUUCAUCAGUAUACCGCCGUCUGAAACUUUAUCCAAUUUGUUAACAAUUUUUUCAAUCAACUCAUCAAUUUGACAAUUGGUUAUUUUUGAGACAGCUUCAAAAAAGCAGGCGUUUUUUCGAGUCUCAGUUUUUUUUCUUUCCUCUUCCUUCAUUUCAUUUGCUUUACCAGGUGAGGAGCAACAUGGCUCACCUUUGUUUUUUUUAACAAACUCUUCGUUCUUUUUUCCCAAGACUCCACUCUGAUGCAAGAUUGGUAAUUUACCUUUUUUAUUUUCAAUAAGCUCAAUUAACCCUGAUUCUCUAUUUUUCCCUUUCUUUAAUUUCUCCCUUUCAUCCACCCCAGUUCUAGGUUCACUCUCCCCUUCCUUCUUGGAUUUAUGUGCACUGCUCAAUUCUUUCUGCACAUAAGUCGUGUGAAUCUCAGACUCUCUAACCCUUAAUGAAUCAGUUAUAGAAUCACAAUUGGUAACAUCCAUUCUCAAUUCUGAUCCAUCCUGAUUAGAUCUGGGACUGGUUGAAGAUUCUGGAAUCACUGAAUUUAGUUGAAUCAAAUUCCCAACUGAAAUGCUUGACAUUGGUUUGGAUAACUCACUUUUGUCAUUCAAAUGGAUAUCCAGAACUAGUGAAUCCACAUACACAGAGAAACUAAUAUCUUCGAUGAACAAAUCAUCCAAAAUCAUUUUUUGGUAAAAAUCCUUGUUCAUCAACCAGUGAUCAAAUUUUCCUUCACCCCCUGUGAUUGCAUUCACUGCUGAACUCCAGGGAUUUUUGAUGAAGUCUGAAAAAGUGAAUUCAGAGCCCACCUUAAAUUUAAUCAACACUUCAGAGAGUUCAGAAAUGAUUUUUGCCUCAACCAUACUCAGAUUGAAAUCAGACAGUUGUCUUAAUUUUGCCAGAGCUGAUUCAAUGUCUGGUUUCUUAAGACAGAUUAAGUAGGAGAAGACUUUUUCUAUUACCCAGGUUCUCACCCGGCACUUGAUUCCUUUAAUUCUACCAUUUGCAGAAAAAAAUCUCUCCACUUUUUUUGGAUUGACUAAAUUAAAGUCCUUGAAUACUCUAGUGCAUUCAGUUACCAGAUUGCCUUGUACACAGGAGAAGAGAUGAUGAGCUCCAUAGGUACACAAUUUGGUUAUUUUAUAGUUUAGAAAGAGUGUCCCCUGUUCAGCUCUAUCCACGUGAAUGUUCAAUCCACCAGCGCUCAUGAACCAAUUGUUUGAAGCAUCUUGAAUAUAAGGCUCAGAGCCUUUUCCAUCAGGAUAAAAAAACAUGUUCCCACCUCGAAUUUCAAAUGAAUAAGCUAUUGUGUUCAUUGAAAAAUUAAUGCCUUCAAGCAAUUCAGGUGGGUAAAUUGCAGUGAAUAUGACAUUUUUUGGUUGUGUCGCGGACAGGAAGUUUGCAAAGUCCUCUAGCCGCCAAUGAUGAACCUCAUCAUGAAGGAAAAAAAGUGGAUUGCGAGGCUAAAUGACCUAGUCUGUUCUUAAUUUUUUCAUAGAAAUUAAAUUGACUUCCCGCACCAAAAUUGAGUACAGACUGACCUUUGUAUCUGUUGAAGUCUUUAACUUCAAAUACUUUGUUGAUAAUGUCUGUGACUCUAUCCUUUUUUUUGAUUUUCUGAAACAAGUAUUUGGCUUUCUCCAUUUUGCAACUCAGAAUUAUGAAAGGAUCAUUCACAUUAAUUUCAUUAGGCAGAACCUUAAAAAGCAGCCAGUUCUCUAUCAUCUUACUGACUGGAUGUGGAUGAGUUUGCAUCUGAACUGGUGAUAGAGUUAUCCCCAAUUCAGUUAAAUACUUUUUCUGCCAAUUGUCUACAGCAAAGGAGAAGAACUUAAAGUUUUCCUUAAUUUGCUGUUCUUGGCUUUCAAAAUGCUCCUGGAGCAGUGACUCAGAGUAAUUAUGAGCUAGCAUAUUGAAGUAAUUUUCUUCAGCGGUCCUGAAUUGUGCCAUUAUAGUGAGCUUCCAAAAGUUGUUUCUCAAAAGUUCGUACUAGAUC